UUUUUUUUUUUUGGCCACACCUGAAGCACCUGGAAGUUCUUGGGUCAGGGAUGAAACCUGAGUCACCUCAGUGACAAGGUCGGAGCCUUAACCCACUCACUGCACCACAAGAGAGCUCCUCCUUGAGUUAAUUUCUUUUACAACACAGGAAAAAACCCAAACGAGGGGUUUUCAUGGUUUCCAUAGGAGACUGGGUUUAAAGGUGACACUGCUGCAUCUCUAUGAGGGCUGGGGGCAGCAGCCACAUACAAAGUCUGCUAGGAAAGUCCCCCCACUAACACACACACACACACACACACCUGGGUGGCCCUCAGCUCCAGCCUUGGACAUUUUAUCCUUCUCUUUAACCUUGGACAUUUUACUUCUCUUUAAGGAAACUAAUUUCCUCACAGAGCAGCAGCUGGGGUUUUAGACUUGGCGUCUCUUCAGAGUAGCCAUGCAUAAAAGAAGGAAACUCAUUCUUUAUAAACUUGGAGAAGAAAAUGUCCUCGAUUUUCCUGAAAUUGACUUGGGAGCUGUGGUUUACACAUCCUGAGCCACGCUCUUGGUAUAUUCUCAGGGAAUUGCCAGCGACAGUGUGACCCCUUCAGGAAGCUGGGGGCUUCAAAGGUGAGGCCUGUACACAAGGGGGCGGACACCUGCUCUGCCUGUAAAGAGGAGGAAACGUGGAAAAGGACCACGGCCUCUGAGCCUGUAAAUCAGCUGCAUCGACGCCUAAGGAAAAGAGAACUCAAGGAGAUAAAGCGAGCAAGGUCCUGGGAGACGCUUGGCGAGGUCUUGAUCUCAGGAGCAGAGAUCAGCUCAUUUAUACACAGUUCUGAGUAGUUUUUUUUUUUUUUUAAAUAAGCAAAAGCAUUUGAACCUACACAACAAUAAUGCAGAGUAACAGGUACUCCACAGAGUCAGCACCUGACAGACAGUGCUUUCCCGAUGUCCCAGGGCAUGUUCAGAAGGGGACUAAAGGACGGAUCUUUCUGGAACAUAGUGAUCAUGGAAAAACUGAGCUGGUGAGAGCUUUAAUUCCUAUAAUAAGGGGGGGAUCCAAAGAAAAAUGUCAUCUACUUAUUAAUAAUCAUCCCCUGUAAUUAGAGCACCAGCUUCUCCUUCUGCCUACAUGAAUUUAUUCUUUUUUUUUUUUGGUCUUUUUAGGGCUGCACCUGUGGCAUUUGGAGGUUCCCAGGCUAGGGUCUUGGAGUGCAACUCAGGCAUCAGCAUUUUAUAAAACUCACUAAGUGGUCUGGGGUCCAGCCAAGGUCAAGAACUACUGCUUUAAAUCCCACUCCUGGGCAUAUAUCUUGAGAAAAUCAUAAUACAAAGACACAUGCACCCCAAUGUUCACUGCAGCAAUACUUACAAUAGCAAAGACAAGGAAACAACCUAAAUUCCAUUGAUAGAGGAAUGGAUAAAGAAGUGGUAAUAUAUACACAAUGGAAUACUACUCAGCCAUAAAAAGAAUGAGAUGCCAUUUGCAGCAACAUGGAUGGACUUAGAGAUGAUCAUACCACGUGUGAAGUUAGCCAGAGAUAAAUACAUGAUAUCACUGAUAUGUGGAAUCUAAAAUAUGACAGAAAGGAAUUUAUCUACAAAACAGAAGCAAACUCACAGACACAGAGAGUAGUCUUGUGGCUGGCAAGGUGGCGGGGGGGAGGGAGGGAGGGAAGGGGUGGGCCCGUGGGAUUAGCAGAGGCAGACUACCAUAUACAGGAUGGAUAAACAAUGAGGCCCUACUGUGCAGCACAGGAAACUCUAUUCAACAUCCUGUGAUAAACCAUAAUGGAAAAGAGUAUGAAAAAGAGUGUAAAUAUAUGUAUAACUGAAUCACUCUGCAGUAGAGCAGAAGUUAACACAACACAGUAAAUCAACUACAAUAAAAUUAAAAAAAAAAGAACUACGGCUUUAGAAGGUGACAGGGUACACAGCAGAUGGAGAGGUGGCAGUUCCAAUGUUCUGUUAGCUUCACUCCAAAAUGCUGAUGGCAGGGAGUUUGAAAGGUUAUCCAGCUUCUUAAAGCGCUUCUCCACACCCUCAUUUUUCUGCUCUCCACCCUCAACUAUUUGGUGGAUGUUAUCACUCUUCAGAUGGAUGCAAAGAAUCAACCUAAAUGGGUACUUUUCUGAGUCUAAAUAGGGCCAUUUAGGAGUUCCCACUGUGGCACAGUGGGUUAAGAAUCUGACUGCAGCAGCUCAGGUCGAUGCAGAGGCAUGGGUUAGAUCCCCAGCCUGGUGCAGUGGGUUAAAGGAUCUGGUGUUGCCACAGCUGUAGCUCAGAUUCAAACCCUGGCUGGGGAACUGCCAUAUGCCCAGGGUGCGGCCAUAAAAAAAAAUGCCUGUUUAUCAUUAAACGUUUUGUAAAUGAGUUCCUGCAAAGCUAAGGUUACAUGUGACAGCCAAAGAGACACAUGAAUUGCAAGUAAAACACUUUAUUAUUUCCAUCAAUAAUAAUAAUAAUACCCUCUAAAAGGCAAUGCUAAUACCCAAUGUGUACGUAAUGGACACUAAUACUCCUUCUCUGCCAAUCUCUAGGAUUUUGGUUCACAUUCCUUUGGGGACAGUAUCUCCAACUUAAAAAAAAAAAAAAAAGAUUCAAACAACAAACCCCCCCAACAUUUCCCAUAUUAUAAAGGGAAGAAAGAGAUCAGUAAUUCCUGAAUUUGAGUGUUCUUUGAAUCCCAAAUGUCCUCUAUACAUAAAAGGUAUUAUUAGAAAAUACUGCAUGUGACCUGAACUCAAAGAUGGAAAGAGUCUAUGUAUAAGAGCCAGGCAACCCCUUGGCCAGCAUCCUGGGUGCUUCCCAUGUGACCAAUCUGCAUUUGGACUCUGGGAUCUCGCCCAGAUGGAGUAGGAUUCCUUAUCCUGGAGUCUUUGAAAAGCAAGAACAAGAGCUAGAUGGAAGUUUCCAGGGGGUUGUUUCUAAGUACAUUAUCCUGCUAUUUUGUUUGCAUCAAUCUAAACACAGGUUUCAGAUCUCACACAGGUGGAGACAGUUUGGACCAGUCAAAGUCAGACAUCAACAGAGCACAGUCAAGGUACUUAUAUAAACGAGUUCUAUGGCUUCAUGAUGCUAAUAACAAUAAAAAUGGAAGUGAAACAGUGUUUGAGACUCUACUAUUCACCAGAUACAGUGCUUGUCAUGUGUCUCCCUUAAGCUCCCAACAACCUAUGUGGCAGACAUGAUUAUUACCACACCUGUUUUGCAAGUAAGAAACCUGAGAAUCAGGAGGUCAGAGUCACAUGGUAAGUGGUGGAGAAAAAUCUGAUUCAGGUGGCCUGACUCCCAAGUUCACAUCCUUAAACACUCUGCUCUCUCUCCUCACACUCACCAGCCAAGCUGAGGCCGCUGGUGACCAGCAGAGUCACGAGAGCUGAAGUCAAGGGUCAGGCCUGGGGUCUUGUUGAGCUCAGGGUCACCAUGGGGUGUGGCUGUCUCCUACCCCCUGGCUGGACCUGAGCAAGGCCAGUUCGUGGAGUGUGUUAGGAUCCUGGGACGCUAAGGCAUCCGAAAAAAACCUCAUCCCAAAGGAGCAUCCAGCAAAGGGACAGCCAUCUCCUUGAUGACUUGGACUGAGCUGGCUGCCUUGCCAGGAUGACAGGCCAGGUGCCUGCUCAUUCACUGUCUUCAGGGGAUGUCAGGGGCCAGCCCACAAGUCUGGGGAUGGGGCGGAGGGUGCAGACUGAGCAGCUCACCAUCUGCAACGCUGCUGGCCAGGCUCUGAGGCUAAGAAAGGGUGGGAGGUGAAGAAAAAGGCCUUGUUUCUCUGCACUCAGACAGGAAAAAGGAGCGGCAUGGAAUUGAGAGGCUAAGCCGAACAGG
rnacentral:lncRNA from 1 species